CAGCCGCCGCGGUAAUACCGGCGGCCCGAGUGGCGGUCACUAUUAUUGGGCUUAAAGCGUCCGUAGCCGGGUUGGGAAGUCCUCCGGGAAAUCUGGCCGCUUAACGGUCAGAAUGCCGGAGGAUACUCCCAGCCUAGGGAGCGGGAGAGGCCGAGGGUAUUCCCGGGGUAGGGGUGAAAUCCUAUAAUCCCGGGAGGACCACCUGUGGCGAAGGCGCUCGGCUGGAACGCGUCCGACGGUGAGGGACGAAGGCCAGGGGAGCAAACCGGAUUAGAUACCCGGGUAGUCCUGGCUGUAAACGAUGCGGACUUUGUGUCGGACAAGCUAUGAGCUUGUCCGGUGCCGUAGGGAAGCCGUUAAGCCCGCCGCCUGGGGAGUACGGCCGCAAGGCUGAAACUUAAAGGAAUUGGCGGG
rnacentral:rRNA from 1 species